GACGGAGGGUGCUAGCGUUGUUCGGAAUCACUGGGCGUAAAGGGCGCGUAGGCGGCGCCGCAAGUCGGCUGUGAAAGCCCGGGGCCCAACCCCGGAGGUGCAGCCGAGACUGUGGUGCUGGAGGCCGGAAGAGGAGGGUGGAAUACCCAGUGUAGAGGUGAAAUUCGUAGAUAUUGGGUGAAACGCCGGUGGCGAAAGCGGAUCUCUGGUCCGGUCCUGACGCUGAGGCGCGAAAGCGUGGGGAGCAAACAGG
rnacentral:rRNA from 1 species